rnacentral:misc_RNA from 1 species
AAAUGCGAUAAGUAAUGUGAAUUGCAGAAUUCAGUGAAUCAUCGAAUCUUUGAACGCACAUUGCGCCCGCCAGUAUUCUGGCGGGCAUGCCUGUUUGAGUAUCAUGAAAUCUUCAAAGUAAAUCUUUUGUUAACUCAAUUGGUUUCUACUUUGGUAUUGGAGGUCUUUGCAGCUUCACACCUGCUCCUCUUUGUUCAUUAGCUGGAUCUCAGUGUUAUGCUUGGUUCCACUCGGCGUGAUAAGUUAUCUAUCGCUGAGGACACUGUAAAAGGUGGCCAAGGUAAAUGCAGAUGAACCGCUUCUAAUAGUCCAUUGACUUGGACAAUACUUUUAUGAUCUGAUCUCAAAUCAGGUAGGACUACCCGCUGAACUUAAGC